GAUCGUCCGAAAAAAAUCAUAAUAGUUCUCUAUCGCUUGUUGUGACACAAACACCAGCAUGUUAAGGGACUUCUACGCAUUUAACGGGCAAUUGAAAAGGGGGAACUAUCCUAGCAUGGAGAAAUUUUCUAUAGCGGUGGAUAAACAGUCAAUAUGGUAAGCCCAUUCUGUGGACUGUAGCCUAGGUAUGCAGCAACAGGCUGAACGAGUUUCCUGCCUGGCGUGCUUCUUGGCUACCUGAAACAACUUCUGAUGUGUUUUUUCCGGCGUCCUGGAACGCACCCUGUCUGGUUGCCGGGCAAGGUAGCCAGUUGGGAGUUCUGAAUACCCGCACCUGUAUCCCAUCAGCUAUCUGCACACCUGGUCCUGAUCAUCAUCUGGUCCUGUUCAUCAUCUCUCCUCUUCAUAAGCCCGGACCUGACAUCCAUUCCCUGCCAGAUCGUUAGCCAUGAACAUUACUCACCCGGAUCAUUUACCCCAUUCCCGCCUGGUCGUCGGAGGAUUCCGCUACCCCAUUGGAUCCACCUAUUUACUCCCAUCAACUCACCACCGCUGCCCGCUACGCCACCUGGAUAUAUCUACCCAUUCACAUUCACUUGUAAAUAAAUACUCACCUUCUUCUUGCUCUCCUUGUCCUGG